AUGUACCCCUCGUACAUUCCGGUUCUGAGCGCGCCGUCCGCGCCGCCUGACAGCUGCUCGCUACGUUUUGUUAGCC
rnacentral:sRNA from 1 species